rnacentral:rRNA from 1 species
AUUGAACGCUGGCGGCAUGCUUUACACAUGCAAGUCGAACGGUAACAGGCCUUCGGUUGCUGACGAGUGGCGAACGGGUGAGUAAUGCAUCGGAACGUACCCAGAGGUUGGGGAUAACGCAGCGAAAGCUGUGCUAAUACCGCAUGUGAUCUGAGGAUGAAAGCGGGGGACCGAGCAGCAAUGUUUGGCCUCGCGCCUUUGGAGCGGCCGAUGUCGGAUUAGCUAGUUGGUGGGGUAAAGGCCUACCAAGGCGACGAUCCGUAGCUGGUCUGAGAGGACGAUCGGCCACACUGGGACUGAGACACGGCCCAGACUCCUACGGGAGGCAGCAGUGGGGAAUUUUGGACAAUGGGCGCAAGCCUGAUCCAGCAAUGCCGCGUGCGGGAAGAAGGCCUUCGGGUUGUAAACCGCUUUUGGCAGGAACGAAACGGUGUCCGCUAAUACCGGGCGCUAAUGACGGUACCUGCAGAAUAAGCACCGGCUAACUACGUG